rnacentral:rRNA from 1 species
UACGUAGGGGGCAAGCGUUGUCCGGAUUUAUUGGGCGUAAAGAGCGUGUAGGCGGCCAAACAGGUCAGCUGUGAAAUCUCGAGGCUCAACCUCGAGACGUCGGUUGAAACCGUUUGGCUAGAGUCCGGAAGAGGAGAGUGGAAUUCCCGGUGUAGCGGUGAAAUGCGCAGAUAUCGGGAAGAACACCCGUGGCGAAGGCGGCUCUCUGGGACGGUACUGACGCUGAGACGCGAAAGCGUGGGGAGCGAACAGG